rnacentral:rRNA from 1 species
AAGNGUGCGUAGGCGGNUGAUUAAGUCGGAUGUGAAGUCCCUGAGCUUAACUUAGGAAUUGCAUUCGAUACUGGUCAGCUAGAGUAUGGGAGAGGAUGGUAGAAUUCCAGGUGUAGCGGUGAAAUGCGUAGAGAUCUGGAGGAAUACCGAUGGCGAAGGCAGNCAUCUGGCCUAAUACUGACGCUGAGGUACGAAAGCAUGGGGAGCAAACAGGAUUAGAUACCCUGGUAGUCCAUGCCGUAAACGAUGUCUACUAGUCGUGGGGNCUUUGAGGUUUAGUGGCGCAGNUAACGCGAUAAGUAGACCGCCUGGGGAGUACGGCCGCAAGACUAAAACUCAAAUNAAUUG